rnacentral:rRNA from 1 species
GAUCAUGGCUCAGGACGAACGCUGGCGGCGCGCCUAACACAUGCAAGUCGAACGAGCGAGAGAGAGCUUGCUUUCUCGAGCGAGUGGCGAACGGGUGAGUAACGCGUGAGGAACCUGCCUCAAAGAGGGGGACAACAGUUGGAAACGACUGCUAAUACCGCAUAAGCCCACGGCUCGGCAUCGAGCAGAGGAAAAAGGAGCAAUCCGCUUUGAGGUGGCCUCGCGUCCGAUUAG